CCGGCCAGGCAGCCGCGGCCGGGAGAGAAAACCCGGUCGAGGAAAGUCCGGACACCGCAGGGCGGGGUGGUCGGGAGACCGACCCGGGGAAACCCGCGGGAAAGUGCCACAGAAAUACACCGCCUAAGCGCCGGGGUGCACGUGCCCCCGUCGCCGGUAAGGGUGAAAUGGUGCGGUAAGAGCGCACCGGCGGCGUGGUGACACGCCGGCCAGGCAAACCCCACUCGGUGCAAGGCCAAGCAGGGACGUUGAGGCUGCCCGCCUAGUCCCAGGUAGGCCGCAGGGCCGUGACGGCCCGCCCCUCACGGGGCAGAUGGAUGGUUGCCCACGACAGGAUCCGGCUUAUCGGCACGGCUAA
rnacentral:RNase_P_RNA from 1 species